rnacentral:misc_RNA from 1 species
UCUUCCCUCUCAACCCAAGCUUAAUCACUGAGGGUCCUUGCACCAAAUUACUCAAAUCAAGAGGUGCUUUAGGGUAUAAAAUGAGAUAUAUUGUGAAGAAAACUUUGCUUCUGUAUGUAUCAUGUGUUGUAUUUUUUUUGAAUAGUUAUCUUCUCUCAUCUACUUCAAUUUCUGUUUCUUUUCUUGAUUUUCAAAGUGUC